GUAGUUUACUACAAAAGAGGGGAAAAAAUGGCUUUCAAGGCAGAAGAAACAGUACAGGCACAAACAUGGAGGCAUGGAAGAGUGCAGGGUGUGUGUGAACUGUUAGGUGUGGCUGGAGCACAGAGGACCUGAAGUGAGGUGGAGGGGAUGCUGGUGGGCAAGAUAAGAGAGUGGAUAGGGGGCUAAUUUCUAGUGGAACUUCUGUCUUUCCUUGAAGAUGGAGCUACUGAUGAGAGAGUUGACAUGGCAAGAUUUUUUCCAUUCCUUUCAAGAAAUGGUUCUAAUUACUACUCCUGCUAAUGCUGUAAAUAAAACUCGAGGGCAGUAGGAGCCAUUUUAGAAUGUUUGUGGCUCCUGUGAAGCUGUGUGUGUGUGUGUGUAAACCCAUUUCUUUUCUAAAAUCACAUACAUUUCCCCUUAGCUACACUCCCUUCCAUAAAGAUUUCUUAUGAAGCUGAAAUGUGAUAUCAGAUGUGACAGGGCAGUGUGUUUUACGAAGCCUGUAGAAAUGUUAGUUCUUAACCAUUUGCAAGUACACCUUGGCAUCUGGAGGACAGGAAUAUUCACUCCCGCAAUCAUUCUGUUCCAACACUGCACUCCCACUCCUUAGAUUCCCAGAAGUACCAUUUUCAGCUGCUGGCCCUUCCAGGAAUAGCCCUGAAGAACCAGAAGGGCAAAGGAGUAGUGUUGACCACAUCAUAGUGCUACAAGGUAAUAGCUUUCAGAGGUUUUACUAUUUAUAAAGUUUCAUGGAACUGUUCCUCCUUUCAGUAUGGUGUCUGGAAUAUAAUUGGAAGCCCCCCAAAAGUGAGGUCACCCCCAACUUUUCUUCCUACUGCUGGAGAAUCAGCAAUUGUCAGAGCUGAAAGAGAUCAUAGAGGUUUUUCGUAAUGCACUCAUUUUAUAGAUUAAAAAAUUGAGACCCAGGGAUGUGAGGUGAAUUUCCUUCAUCCUGCAGCAUUUUAAUGACAGAACUGAGAACAGAAAUUUGGUCUUCUGAUCCCCAGUCUUGUGGUGGUUCUUCUCCUCCCUGCCACUUCUGUUUUGAGAUUUUUGACAACUUGAGGACAUUUGGCCAAUCUGGAUACUGACAUUUGAAUGAGACUAACCACUAGAAGAAUGUCAAGGAGGGAAUGAUUUACAUUGGUGAAUUCAUCCAAUCCAUUGUCCAGUCUUCAGUCAUGCAAAUGUAGGAACUGGACUUUGCCCAAGUCAGAGAUGUUAGAUAUAAGAACACAUUGAUCAAGCCCUUAAGUGACUGAUGUAGGUAGACUAGAAUAAAUAAGUAAUAUGUU